rnacentral:rRNA from 1 species
GAUGAAUGCUAGCGGCAGGCCUAACACAUGCAAGUCGAGGGGUAGAAGUUUUCGGACUUUGAGACCGGCGCACGGGUGCGUAACGCGUAUGCAAUCUGCCUUACACUAAGGGAUAGCCCAGAGAAAUUUGGAUUAAUACCUUAUAGUAUAUUGAUGUGGCAUCACAUUAUUAUUAAAGAUUUAUUGGUGUAAGAUGAGCAUGCGUCCCAUUAGCUAGUUGGUAUGGUAACGGCAUACCAAGGCUAUGAUGGGUAGGGGUCCUGAGAGGGAGAUCCCCCACACUGGUACUGAGACACGGACCAGACUCCUACGGGAGGCAGCAGUGAGGAGUAUUGGUCAAUGGGCGCAAGCCUGAACCAGCCAUGCCGCGUGCAGGAUGAAGCAUCUAUGGUGUGUAAACUGCUUUUGUACGGGAAGAAACACCUCUACGUGUAGAGGCUUGACGGUACCGUAAGAAUAAGGAUCGGCUAACUCCGUGCCAGCCGCCGCCGUAA